CUGCAACCUGGCAGGGUUGCAACCUAGCAGGCCUGUGACCGCUCUGACCAUCAAUUAUGGAGUACUACUUGGUUUUGUGCCCUUUGAUGAUGCGCAUAUGAUUUAUGGGCAGCAGGUGUAUCCUCUUUCUACACAUAAUGAGUAUUGCCUUUGGUCACAGGUAUCCUACCCAAUGGAAUUGCUGUUUGGCUUGGAUUCUAGGCUGAUCUGGUAAAACAUAGGGCGAAGGAUGAUAGUAUAUAUAUGAAAGCCUAUGCAAUAUGUAGUGCCCUUGAAGUAUAUGUCAAUGGCAAGGUAUAAUGCUCUGUAGUAUAUGUUAGUAUCAUUCUGGUACUGCUGUGAUAAUUAGCAAGCAUAGCUUAGUUCUUUGUUCAGGCUGCUCCUAAAUUUCCUUCAUGUAUGCAUCUUUUGUCUAUGUAAAUAUGUAAGUUUGUGUGACGCUUUGUUCAGGUUUGAUCCACCUUUCCAUCAGAUGUUCUUUCAUGUAAGAAUGUUGGUCUAUGUAAAGAGCUUCAGGCUCUCAA